CAAGUCGUGGGGCAGCAGGGGUAGCAAUACCCGCUGGCGACCGGCAAACGGGUGAGGAGCACGUACGCAACCUUCCUUUAACUGGAGAAUAGCCCCUCGAAAGAGGGAUUAAUACUCCGUAACAUAUUGAUAAGGCAUCUUAUUAAUAUUAUAGCUCCGGCGGUUAAAGAUGGGCGUGCGACUGAUUAGAUAGUUGGCGGGGUAACGGCCCACCAAGUCUGCGAUCAGUAACUGGUGUGAGAGCACGACCAGUCACACGGGCACUGAGACACGGGCCCGACUCCUACGGGAGGCAGCAGUAAGGAAUAUUGGUCAAUGGACGCAAGUCUGAACCAGCCAUGCCGCGUGGAGGAUUAAGGCCCUCUGGGUUGUAAACUCCUUUUAUCUGGGAAGAAAUGUACUUUUUCUUGAGUACUUGACGGUACCAGAGGAAUAAGCACCGGCUAACUCCGUGCCAGCAGCCGCGGUAAUACGGAGGGUGCAAGCGUUAUCCGGAUUCACUGGGGUUUAAAGGGUGCGUAGGCGGAUAAGUAAGUCAGUGGUGAAAUCUCCGAGCUUAACUCGGAAACUGCCGUUGAUACUAUUUGUCUUGAAAUGUUGUGGAGGUAAGCGGAAUAUGUCAUGUAGCGGUGAAAUGCUUAGAUAUGACAUAGAACACCAAUUUGCGAAGGCAGCUUACUUACACAA
rnacentral:rRNA from 1 species